rnacentral:lncRNA from 1 species
AUGGCCAUUCCGGGAGGCAGCCAAGCUGCGGCACCCGGCCCUGGUGCCAUGCUGGGGAGCCCGGGACUCAGCUCCCCUGGGCUGUUUGUAUCCCCUCUCCCUUCAGCAGCCACAGAGACGGAUGGGACCCCAGGGCUUUUGGGCUGGGGAGGGGGCAGGAGCAGGGCAGGUCCAGCAGGAAUUGAGGAGGCUGCCCUGAGAUCUCCCUUUUCCAGCACAGAGGGUCCYGCCGUCAGGUCGCUUGUCAAAACUGGAGAGGAAAAUCUGGAGCCAGCAGACAGCCCCUCGGCAGCAGGAGGCACAGCCGGGCCCACGUUGGGAGAUGCGGGGACAGCCGGGGGCUCUUCUCCCGAAGGUGCUGGCAUUCCUGAGGCCGUCUCGUCAUUGGGAGACCAAGGAAGGACGGUUUCAGCUUCAGGCAGUGGCAAAUUGAGCACCUUUGCUGCAGCCAGCGGUGUGCCCGCUGCCGCCAAGCUGCUUCCACUCUGGAUACUGGAGGGAAAGGGGGGAUUCUCAUUAGGUGCCAGCCCUGAGCUUUCCCCCAUGCCUCCCGAGGCGGCAGGCAAUGCACCAAGUCCAUGCCCAGGGAGCAGCAGAGAAGAGCCCAGCAAGCUGGCAAUGCCAGCAGUGGCAACGCCGGUGUCCAGAGCCGAUGGGACCAGGGUCUGCAUCUGCUGCGGGGAGGCAAAGGCAGAUGGGGCCAGCACUCCCGAUGCUAUUUGUUUGACAGCUCCUGCCCCAUCUCCUAAACUGGCACUAAGGGAAGCUUCAUCAUCAGCUGAGACUCCUGUUUCUCCUCCAGGCAGCUCCACCACGUUGACUUGGCUCAGUUUUGCAUCAGAAGAUCCAAGAUCUGAACCACUCUGGAUGCCAGGGACAGACACGGGAGCGCCCUCGGGGUCUGAAGACCCUGGGCCAGAAGCAGCUGAGCCAGUGUUCGAACCAUCGGCUCCUCCACUAACGCCGGUAAGGCCUGCUCCUGCUGUAGCCAUGCCGGCUGUCCCAAGUGAUGAAGACCCUUCAACAGACAGAGAGGAGGGUGCAGAGUGCUCCGCAGCUCUUACUGUUCCAUCAGGGGCUCCCGAACCAGAUGUUCCCUCCACAGCAGGGCCCUGGGACUCCCCAGGGGAUGCUCCAUCACCAGGGAUGGCCUUGGCCAGUUUAUCUGCUUCUCCUGUGGCAGGAGGGACCCCAGGCUCAACACUCGCUGGGGCAGGCUGA